rnacentral:rRNA from 1 species
AUGGGAACACUAAGCAGCAAAAUGCGAGCUUUGUUCUACCUCUGCUUCGUGCCGUGCCUUCUUCUCUUGCAAGAAGUGCAUGCGGCACGUCAUGGAGGGAUCUCACUGAGCUCCCAACGCAUGGCCCUUCUCCACUGGAAAGCUACACUUACAAACCCAUCGUUGCAGAUGAGCUCUUGGCAAAAAGACACCAGCCCCUGCAACUGGACGGGCAUCGUGUGCACGGCUGUCCAUCAUGGCGGACGUGUGCCCUUGGUGGUCACCGACAUCUCUCUGCCAGACACUGGCAUCCAUGGCCAGCUUGGUGAGCUCAACUUCUCAGCUCUUCCAUUUCUCACAUAUAUUGACCUCACCAACAACAGUCUCCAUGGUGCGCUACCCGCUAGUAUCAGCUCCCUGACAGCACUUUCAGUACUUGGCCUUCACCACAACCAGCUCAUAGGGAAAAUUCCUUAUGAGAUUGGUGGCAUGCAAAGUCUAAGGUUGCUUGAGCUCUCAUUUAACAAGCUCACAGGACAUAUCCCUGCAUCUCUGGGUAACUUAACAAUGUUAAAUUAUCUUGUCAUUCACCAAAACAUGGUGUCAGGUCCCAUUCCAGAGGAGAUUGGAAGGCUUGUCAGCCUACGACUUCUACAACUAAGCAACAACAUCUUAAGAGGCAUGAUACCGAAAACCCUUGGAAAUCUGACCAACCUAAAUACUCUGUACCUAUUUGGUAAUCAAUUUUCAGGGCCUAUACCACAAGAACUAGGCAGGCUAGUCCAUUUGCAAAUUCUCCAGCUUGACUCAAAUGAUUUUUCAGGUCCAAUUCCAAUCUCCAUAACCAAUCUCACCAAGAUGAACCAACUUUCUCUCUCUGAAAAUCAAAUCAAUGGAUCUAUACCCCUAGAACUAGGCAGCCUCAUUAUGUUGAAAAUACUUUUUCUCUACAGUAAUCAGAUAACAGGUUCAAUACCUACAGAGCUAGGCAACCUCACUAUGCUUAGUGAACUUUUUCUCUAUAGAAAUCAAAUCACCGGUCCAAUACCUUUAGAAUUGGGCACCUUGCUGAAUCUCCAAAAUUUAGACUUGUCCUUCAACAAAAUAACCGGUUCCAUUCCCCAAGAGAUUGGCAAUCUAAUUAACCUCGAAUAUUUAGACUUGUCUCAAAACCAAAUUUCAGGAUCCAUACCAAAAACUUUUGGUAAGUUGCAAAGCAUCCAAACAAUACAAAUAUACGAUAACAAGUUAUCAGGUUCUCUUCCUCAAGAACUUGGAGAUCUCACCAGCCUUGUUCGACUUGCGCUGUCUAACAACUCACUUUCGGGACAUUUACCUGCAAAUAUAUGUUUAGGCGGCAGACUUCAAAAUCUCCAUGCCUUUUCUAAUAUGUUAAGUGGCCCCAUUCCAAGGAGUUUAAAGACAUGUACGAGUUUGGUUCAAAUUGACCUUGAUUCGAACAAACUAACAGGAGAUAUAUCUCAACAUUUUGGUGCGUAUCCACAACUCAUAUGGAUGAGUGUGACGCCCGGGUAA